GACGAACGCUGGCGGCGUGCUUAACACAUGCAAGUCGAGCGAUGAAGUUCCUUCGGGAACGGAUUAGCGGCGGACGGGUGAGUAACACGUGGGUAACCUGCCUCAUAGAGGGGAAUAGCCUUCCGAAAGGAAGAUUAAUACCGCAUAAGAUUGUAGUUUCGCAUGAAAUAGCAAUUAAAGGAGUAAUCCGCUAUGAGAUGGACCCGCGUCGCAUUAGCUAGUUGGUGAGGUAACGGCUCACCAAGGCGACGAUGCGGAGCCGACCUGAGAGGGUGAUCGGCCACCUUGGGACUGAGACACGGCCCAGACUCCUAAGGGAGGCAGCAGUGGGGAAUAUUGCACAAUGGGGGAAACCCUGAUGCAGCAACGCCGCGUGAGUGAUGACGGUCUUCGGAUUGUAAAGCUCUGUCUUUAGGGACGAUAAUGACGGUACCUAAGGAGGAAGCCACGGCUAACUACGUGCCAGCAGCCGCGGUAACAC
rnacentral:rRNA from 1 species